rnacentral:rRNA from 1 species
UGAAUAAUUAAAGGGCCGCGGUAUUUCUGACCGUGCGAAGGUAGCAUAAUCAUUAGUCUUUUAAUUGAAGGCUUGUAUGAAUGGUCGGACGAGAAGCAAUCUGUUUCAAGUAAAAAAAUUGAACUUAACUUUUAAGUGAAAAGGCUUAAAUAUCCUAAAAAGACGAUAAGACCCUAUAAAUCUUAACAUUAAAUUUUAAUAGCCACCUAAUUUAUUAAUCCAAAGGAUUUAUUAAAAAAAUGUUGUGUUGGGGCGACAAAAAUAUAAUAAUAACUGUUUUAAUUUAUAUAACAAGAAUUAUUGAUGAGACAAGAUCCUUAUUAAAGAUUAUAAGACUAAGUUACUUUAGGGAUAACAGCGUUAUUCUCUUUGAGAGUUCUAAUCGAAAAGAGAGUUUGCGACCUCGAUGUUGAAUUAAAAAAUCU